ACCACGUCUUCGCCUCCUCCAACAGAGCCAGCCAGGUCAAAAAUCGCAUUGCCGUCGUGGUCACUGAUGGCAAAUCUCAGGACGACGUGGUGGAUGCCAGUGUGGAGGCCCGAGCUCAGGGCAUUACAGUGUUUGCUGUUGGAGUCGGCAGUGAGAUCACCACCUCAGAGCUGGUAUCCAUCGCCAACAGGCCGUCAUCUGCCUAAGUCCUGUACGCCGAAGAUUACACCACCAUUGACCUCAUUCAAGGUUCCAUGGAGCAGAAGCUCUGUGAAGAGUCUGUUUGUCCAACACGAAUCCCGGUGGCCUCUCGGGAUGAGAAAGGCUUUGAGCUGCUGCUGGGCAUGAACAUUCAGAAGAAGGCCAAGAAGAUCCCUGGCUCUUUGAUUUUGGAGGCCGCUUACGCUCGGACGGCCUCCA